AGGAGUGGGCGCAUGGUCGCUGGCUGCCUUCGGGUGGUCAGAGGAAAGUCCGAACACCGCAGGGCAAGGUGGUUCGUAACACGAACUGGGGGCAACCCUAAGGAAAGUGCCACAGAAAAUAUACCGCCGGGCAACCGGUAAGGUUGAAAAGGCGAGGUAAGAGCUCACCGCCUUCAUGGUGACAUGGAGGGCAUGGUAAACCCCACCUGGUGCAAGACCAAAUAGGGAAACGUUUGAGGGCUGCCCGCCCGAAGUUUCCGGGUAGGUUGCUAGAGGCGUCGGGUGACCGGCGUCCCAGUUAAAUGAUCAUGGCCCGUUUCGGCGGGUACAGAAUUCGGCUUAUAGCCCGCUCCUUUUU
rnacentral:RNase_P_RNA from 1 species